GAUUUUUUAGUGUCCCUUAUAUGUGGUUAAAACAUCCGCCUCGGAUGCUGGAGGUCGCGGGUUCGAAUCCCGGAGUCAUACCAAAAAUCA